rnacentral:rRNA from 1 species
ACGGAAGGCAGCAGUCGGGAAUAUUGCGCAAUGGAGGAAACUCUGACGCAGUGACGCCGCGUAUAGGAAGAAGGUUUUCGGAUUGUAAACUAUUGUCGUUAGGGAAGAUGAAAGACUGUACCUAAGGAGGAAGCCCCGGCUAACUAUGUGCCAGCAGCCGCGGUGAUACAUAGGGGGCAAGCGUUAUCCGGAAUUAUUGGGUGUAAAGGGUGCGUAGACGGAGAAGCAAGUUAGUUGUGAAAUCCCUCGGCUUAACUGAGGAACUGCAACUAAAACUACUUCCCUUGAGUGUCGGAGGGGAAAGUGGAAUUCCUAGUGUAGCGGUGAAAUGCGUAGAUAUUAGGAGGAACACCGGUGGCGAAGGCGACUUUCUGGACGAUAACUGACGUUGAGGCACGAAAGCGUGGGGAGCAAACAGGAUUAGAUACCCUGGUA